AUUGUCCGUCUGUGAACACGGAGGAGAAGAGCAUGAAAGGACAUGAUAUAGCGCAGAGCAGUCCAUUCCCAAAGCACAGAGACAGCUGCCAACAGAGGGUAAACAUCAGCCCCCUCUGGGACAGCCACGCAGAGCUAAAAGGCCCUGGCUCCCAUACAGCCACGCAGCAGAGGUGGAGGGCAGCGAGUACCAGUGAUAAGUUGCUCUACUUCAGGGUCACGGCUGAGAGGUUUGGUUUAUAACCUCUGGAUCCUACCCGUCAAUCCCCCGCAGAAGUAUAAACCGGCCUUAAGAAGACGUGUAAUAAACAGACACUCACUGUGGUGAUGGGUAUAAAUAUCAGGGGAGCAUCAUAUAAUACCCUCGGUCGUGUAGAUCCAUCCAUGUGUAUGAUAUGCUUCCAUUCUGGGAUAAGGUCAGAAUUAAACUGGGCCUCCACUGCAGGCAGAAUGACAAAAUUUGCUAUUCUUGAGAUCAUUAUCUCACAUUUCAUAAAAGAAUGAGGUACACCAAAAACUGCAAGGGCACACGCAGCCACCGUGCGUACAUAUGAAGCACUCAAGUAUAUAAGCAUUGGUGACGCUUCAUCACCGACUUUAUGCACCAUAAGCGUGAGCGUAUAC